rnacentral:rRNA from 1 species
AGGCAGCAGUAGGGAAUCUUCCACAAUGGCGAAAGCCUGAUGGAGCAACGCCGCGUGGGUGAAGAAGGUCUUCGGAUCGUAAAACCCUGUUGUUAGAGAAGAAAGUGCGUGAGAGUAACUGUUCACGUUUCGACGGUAUCUAACCAGAAAGCCACGGCUAACUACGUGCC